GUGCUUGCUUCGGCAGUACAUAUGCUAAAAUUGGAACGAUACAGAAAAGAUUAGCAUGGCUCCUGUGCAAGGAUGACAUGCAAAUUCGUGAAGCAUUCCGUAUUUUU